CUACCUUGUCCAGGGGUGGGACCAUUUAUGAAGCGAAGCUAUCUCCUCCCCUCUCCGGAGCGACCUGUCGUGUCAAUUACUGGAAGAGACCAACGUGUUUUUCCCCAGGUAAAAGAUUAUGGCAGUCUCUGAAACAGUACAAAUCGGGCACACAGAGAUACCAGCAGAGAGCCAAAGUCUGUAUCCUAUGUGGAGCGCCUUUGUUCUCCGCUGACUGCAAUAGAAAUACGCCCUGGGGAAUCUGGGCAGGACACGCAUACCACAGCCAUGAAUCUGCUCAGUUAAAAAAAGAACACUGACAGCAAUUUAAAGGUUUAUUCAUAAUUGUGAUUUUGUCCAGGAAAAAAUGUUAAAAUAAAAAUGGAUCCAAU